CCAAUCUCACAGACUCGCUCUCUCCACCCCACGUCUUCAACCUCUCGUCUCUCUCACACUCUCACGAGCUCCUCUCACAAACUCGUCUCUUACAAACUCACGAAUCCCUUUCAAACUCUCAGCAAAGCUCGCUCAAUCGCUCUCAACCUCACUCAUUCAAACUCAGAUGCUCAAACGUUAACCAAAGAGCGUAAAUCCACGGUUUCAAAAAAACCUCAAGCGGAAAUCUCACCUUCGAUGACGACGACGAAUCAGGGUUUGGGAUUUGGUUUAUGGAGUCCAAAAGAGCAUCCUGCGAAAUCUCUUUUGGGUUGUCAGGCUUUGGUCGCCCUGCUUGAUGGUUAAAUUCGGAAGAGUGAAGAUUGGAGCAUUGGUUUGAUUUUCUCAUUCCCGCUGAGUCCGCGAUAGCAGCAGCAACAUAAAGUUGGUUGGUGGGAAUUUCACGAAUGUAGUCGUUUGCGACAUUCAACAGGUGAGAAAUCUUUUCCUUCCAUUGAUAUAACUCUUGCAUUGUGAACUUUGAUUUUCUGCUACUGUUGGUUCUGGUUUGGGUUUUCACAGGGAAACAGGACCAGGAGUGCAACUGUUACAAGUAUUGGUGGUCACAACCGCUUCUGAUAUUGAUCCAGGGAUGUUUCGAUUUGGAGGUCUGAUGUAGUUUUAGGAAAAGCUGAGACGAGAUUAAGAUAGAAGAUGUUAAGAGGUUUAUUUUGAUGGAAUUAUGGUUCGUUUUAGCUCAGCUCUAUUGCCUUCGGUUCCGGCGCGACAAAGCAAGGUUCUGGCGAGUGGACUGCUUGUGGAUGUGUGUUUCUUGCAGGUCACAGGUUCCUUUACUUGGUUACCAAACUGGAAUCCAUUGUUGCUUGCAAGUUGUUCAAUCCCUGCCUUGUAUCACCAUCAGUUAGUGGAUACAAGUACGUAGUACUAGAAGCAUAAUGACCAUCAUUGUCGAUAACAAUACGACUCCUUUGCAAAAUCAAACCAACAAUAGGAACAGAAGCAGACAUGUAGAGGUUCCAUUUUGAGCACAUUUCACGAGUUUUCAUAGGCAUAAUCCAAGGCAAAACCAAUACAACUGUAACAGUAGUAAAUGUCAGAGUGGCAUAAAAAACUUGAACUGAAAAGGUGGCAUCCUGAAAUCUCCAGAUGAAAGCAUCUUGAAGUCUCCAAUCACAAUUUUGUAAUCCGUUAAUCUGUCAAAGAACAAGUCCCUGGGCAAAACUGUAGUACUCGGGAUGCUCAAGUCUACAACUCUCAAUUGGUGCAAAUGUUUUAACUGAGAAAGAAAUGAAAUUUGACUUUGGUUUGGUGCAGAUUUGGCUUUGCAACAAGUUGGUGCAGCAGGAUAAAUGCAGUAGGAUGGUUAAUUGGAAAAGCAAGAUUCCAAAGGUUCAAGGCAUAACCAAGCAUGAAGAAACAAGUCCACAUGGUUAAAUCAAAGAGCAUAUGGAAAUGGAUAAUGGAAUGAGAGUUAUGGCCAGCCAUUUAGUGAUUAGGGAUGACCAAUGGCAUAGGGUUGACUUUGGUCAAAGUUGACCAAAAAGUCAACUGUUGACCAAAGUCAACAAUUGGUUAAAAUUCAAUUUUAUUUGCAUUUUUCUUGUAAAUGGGCAAAUGAUUGAUGAUUGUGGUGA